AAUAUUAGUUCACGUCUUUCUCUGUUUCCUUCUUGUGUAUUUCGUUUUUUGUUUUUCUUCCCUUUCCCCUUGUUUUUGGUCAUUUUUGUUUUUUAAAAAAAAAAGGAAUGUAGUUAAUUAAAAAACCUGAUUUUAAAAAAGUCGUUACGUUUAAUAUAUUUUUUUCAUUUUUAAGUUAAAAUAUAAUAAAAAAA
rnacentral:ribozyme from 15 species